rnacentral:tRNA from 1 species
ACCUCCGUAGCUCAAUCGGAUAGAGCACCUGGCUUCGAACCAGGGGGUUGCGGGUUCAAAUCCUGCCGGAGGUA